CCUACGGGCGGCAGCAGUGGGGAAUAUUGGACAAUGGGGGCAACCCUGAUCCAGCCAUGCCGCGUGUGUGAAGAAGGCCCUCGGGUUGUAAAGCACUUUCAGUGAGGAAGAACGCCUGGUGGUUAAUACCCAUCAGGAAAGACAUCACUCACAGAAGAAGCACCGGCUAACUCCGUGCCAGCAGCCGCGGGAAUACGGAGGGUGCGAGCGUUAAUCGGAAUUACUGGGCGUAAAGCGCGCGUAGGUGGCUUGAUAAGCCGGUUGUGAAAGCCCCGGGCUCAACCUGGGAACGGCAUCCGGAACUGUCAAGCUAGAGUGCAGGAGAGGAAGGUAGAAUUCCCGGUGUAGCGGUGAAAUGCGUAGAGAUCGGGAGGAAUACCAGUGGCGAAGGCGGCCUUCUGGACUGACACUGACACUGAGGUGCGAAAGCGUGGGUAGCAAACAGGAUUAGAUACCCUUGUAGUC
rnacentral:rRNA from 1 species